AGAGUUUGAUCCUGGCUCAGGAUGAACGCUGGCGGCGUGCUUAACACAUGCAAGUCGAGCGAGAAAAGUUCUUCGGAACUUUUCUAGCGGCGGACGGGUGAGUAACACGUGGGCAACCUGCCUCAUAGAGGGGAAUAGCCUUCCGAAAGGGAGAUUAAUACCGCAUAACAUUAUUGAAAGGCAUCUUUUAAUAAUCAAAGGAGCAAUCCGCUAUGAGAUGGGCCCGCGGCGCAUUAGCUAGUUGGUGAGGUAACGGCUCACCAAGGCGACGAUGCGUAGCCGACCUGAGAGGGUGAUCGGCCACAUUGGAACUGAGACACGGUCCAGACUCCUACGGGAGGCAGCAGUAGGGAAUCUUCGGCAAUGGGGGCAACCCUGACCGAGCAACGCCGCGUGAGUGAAGAAGGUUUUCGGAUCGUAAAGCUCUGUUGUAAGAGAAGAACGUGUGUGAGAGUGGAAAGUUCACACAGUGACGGUAACUUACCAGAAAGGGACGGCUAACUACGUGCCAGCAGCCGCGGUAAUACGUAGGUCCCGAGCGUUGUCCGGAUUUAUUGGGCGUAAAGCGAGCGCAGGCGGUUUAAUAAGUCUGAAGUUAAAGGCAGUGGCUUAACCAUUGUUCGCUUUGGAAACUGUUAAACUUGAGUGCAGAAGGGGAGAGUGGAAUUCCAUGUGUAGCGGUGAAAUGCGUAGAUAUAUGGAGGAACACCGGUGGCGAAAGCGGCUCUCUGGUCUGUAACUGACGCUGAGGCUCGAAAGCGUGGGGAGCAAACAGGAUUAGAUACCCUGGUAGUCCACGCCGUAAACGAUGAGU
rnacentral:rRNA from 1 species